rnacentral:lncRNA from 1 species
GAUCCAGUUUAUAGAUUCCUUUAUCAUUGCCACUGGUUCAAAAUUUCACUUUUCUCACUCUGGUGCUUCGAGUUCAUUCCAGGUUUUUUAUUCUUUUCUUAGUCCGCCAUGAUAUGCCAUUGCGAUUGACAGAUGUCUUAACGUAUGACAGUACAAUUUACUUUAAUUUAUUUUUUAUCUGGGUUGAAUGCCUCACAAUUUAUUCAACAGAUUAGUGAUGUUUAGUGACGUUCAAGCCAAUGCUUCUGAAUCUCCCGAUUUUUGUUUGGUCAUGCUUCUCGUUCUAUGGCAAUACUAUAACAUGGUGAUACUGAAAGAAUUUGAAGGAAAAAAAAGAAGGUAGACUUUGGAUGAGUUCUGAUGAUGUAUAUAUAUGUUAUGCAUCAGAUCAUGAUCUUGGAGUGCUCUAGGAAUAUUUUAGGUCUCAGCAGGCUUUUUUGUAUAUACCAUGAAUGGGUUUGUAAAUAGGCGCUGAUACAAGAAUAAUUGAUAUUCUCCAGGUCAUCGGUAUUUCUCAGUGCUUUUACGUGUUAUAUGCUGUUCUUUUGUGAAAGUAUUCAUUCUUGUAUUGGUUAGUAUAUUUUUCUCCUAUUACUGUGAGUUUUUUUUAGGUUUAUUUGUUUCUGCAAGCAAGU